rnacentral:misc_RNA from 1 species
GAUGAAGAACGUAGCGAAAUGCGAUACUUGGUGUGAAUUGCAGAAUCCCGUGAACCAUCGAGUCUUUGAACGCAAGUUGCGCCCGAAGCCAUCAGGUUGAGGGCACGUCUGCCUGGGCGUCACAUAUCGUUGCCCAAUGCCUAUUGCAGUGCAAUAGGAAUUUCUAGGGCGAAUGAUGGCUUCCCGUGAGCGUUGUUGCCUCGCGGUUGGUUGAAAAUCGAGUCCUCGGUAGGGUGUGCCAUGGUAGAUGGUGGUCGAGUUAGAACGAUACCGAUCAUGUGCAUGCUCCCCAAAAUAUGGCCUCUAUGACCCACACGCGUCUUUUGACGCUCAUGACGAGACCUCAGGUCAGGCGGGGCUACCCGCUGAAUUUAAGCAUAUCAAUAAGCGGAGGA